CGGGGUGGGAGGUGCACGCUCGGCCAAUGGGUGCGGGGCAGGCCGGCAGGCCGAGCUGACGUGCGGGCUGCUGGCCGUAUGGGGGUUUAUUUUGCUUUGGGCCACUCCAGCCGCCGCCAUUAGAGGAGGCCGGGAGCGGGGCGAAGGGCUUCCCCCCGCCCCCCCCCGCGGCCGUGCCGAGUGGGAGCGCUCGCGGCCGCGGCUGCCCGCCGCGCUGGGAGAGACCAUGUCGUGAGCGGGGAGAGCACGCCUCAGCCAGCGGGCCGGGGGGCGGCGCGGGGCGCAGCGCCGAGCGUGUGCCCGAGGGACGGCUCCUGGCGGGGCGGACAGAUGUCUCCUGAGAUCUGUCAUCUCCUGAAUGUUUGACUUCAUACCACACAGAACAUUUGCAGAAUUAGGUGUCAUGUAACAGGAAAUUAUUGUGCUGACGUGAAGCCAGGCUUUAAGGUGUGUUUGAGAUGGUCACACUUGUAUUGGACAUGUAAAUAGAAUAUUGAGGACUGAAGCAAAAUAUUGUCUUUUUUUUUUUUUUCUGAAUACAGUGAAUAUAUAACCAAUUAGUCUUAAAGAUGUUUUGAAACAGGAUGCAAAUCCAUCCAUCCACAUGGAAGCAGCUUUUGAUAGACUGUAAGUGAAGCUUGUUGUCAGAACAGACUUUGUGUUUUUAAAAUGUAUUACUUAAUCAGAAUUCUGAAUUGGUUAAGAGAUCUGCCUUUCUUGUGAUGUAUUUCCUUGAGUAAGAUCAGGGCCUUCUGGGUUUUAACUGUGUGCCUCUGUAGGAGUAGAUGAGAAGUGGUCUGUGAUGAAGCAGGUCACACUGAAGCCUUGCAGUCGAGGAUAUUAGCUGCCAGCCUGGACUACCAGAACAGAAAAGAAGAGUUUUCAUGUACUAGAUUGCAAGCAGUUCUUCAGUUAUAAGUGGAACACUUCCAGUUUUUCAUCUUUUGCACUGCCGACGAUGUACUUUAUUAAUGGUGUUGGCAUUUGCAUAGCAGUGAUUUGGUGUUUUUUAAUAGAACCAAGGUUUGUGCUAGUUUUUAUUUCACGAUGCCUCUUGUAAGACAGCAGUUUUCUUUGUGUUAGUGGGAACCAACAACCAGCUGUAACUCCUGGAAGUGCCUUCCAAAGCAGUGCUGUGCCUGGGGUGAGGGUGGGAGGGAUAAUGCCAAAAAGCCAUACAGUUCUCCAAAGGCCUUUGUGUCCCAACACUUCUUAUUGGUAUCCAUUUAUAUCAAAAGGUGGCUUUCUGCUGUGGUAGCCCAAGACCUGUUCUGACUGCCUGUGCUGUCUGCUUGUGUUCUGUAGAGAAAUACAGAUGUUGUAAGCUAAAGCAGCCCUGGAGCAGGCGGCAGAAAAGCGUUGUGUUGCUCUUUUCUUAAAAUGGUGGAAAGUUUUCCUUUUUGCUGAUCUGUUUGAGACAACAUCUUUUCAUUUUUGAAGACCCAUGCUAACAACCAAAAGAAACUACACUUGCUUGCUGAAGUACCUGUGUUAGUGUAUUCAGGCUAGUAGAGAAGUGUUUUUGCUUUUAUGACUUUGCAGUAAUCCUUUUGUUUUUUAUUAUAACAUAUAGUCAUUGCCUUCAUGGCUAAGCUUCCAUAUUCAAUGCUGAUCUGAUUUGGUUAUCCUAUCAGCAAGGUCAGUGUGGUAGUUCUGUUUUGCCUUCCUUUUUUUUUUAUAAACUAAUCUGCAGAGAUUACAAUAGAACCCACUGUUCGUUCCCUUCAAGCUAUAGAAGCUUCAGUUCAGGGUAGUUGAGGUACACUGCUUUGUUGAGCCUCAUUGUGAACACGUGGGAGAACUCAUGCAGGAGUAGCAGAGAGCUGAAGGUGGAGAGCUAGGAAAAAAAGAACAUAACAGUAAGUGGUGAAGUAAGAGCAGAAACUGACAGCAAAAUUCCACCUUAAAAAGUCAACCAAAGGGAAAUUUCAUGUGGAAAAAAUGGUUCUUGAUACUUAGCAGUCCAUUUCAGAAUGCGUUUUCUCUAAGUGUAUGGAUAGUGUGAUUUUUCACGCGGAUUCUUGGACCCAAAUGACAAAGUAAAUUUGUUACAUAGAAAGUGGAAAGUGUCUUUUUUAGGAAAUAGUUGAAGAGGCUUUCAGUAAACUUACAAGUUUGAAAAAGAAACAAAUAGGCCUUCUGGAUGGAAGCUUGCGGGGUUACUCUCGGGACCUUCCCAAUGGCUGCACUUUGUAUUUUGUUUUUUAAACUGACACAUUUUUGUUUGAAGAGUCCCUUGGUGCAGGUUGAGAUAUGCUUGAAGAGAAAUCCCUCUUGGGGUGAGCAACAAAGUGGCAGCAUUUGUAAAUGUUGGUUCCUUCAUUGGUAAAGGGUGAGACCAGAGCCAUUGGAUUGCUUCCCCUUAAGAACUGUUGACCACAGUUCUUCAUAUGCACUUCUUGUGUGUGUGUUCUGCAGUUUUGCACUACAAGAGCAGCUACAAUUACCUGAAUUCAGACUAAUAUGUAUUUAAUCAUAACAGUUUCUGGUGACCAUGCAGAUAUGUGGCAGCUUUAAUUGCAAGUCUUACCUAUAUAUGAAUGAACUUCAGCUUUCUAGGAGGUGUAGCCAUUGUUUUAUUGGUAACCAAGGAAGAAUUUGAGGCAGUGAUGUAAAAAGGAGAAUACUUCUGUAUGUCAGACUAUGCAGAGUUAAUUGUAGGCAAUUUUUUUUAAAAGCUGUUUUUUCCUUCAUAUCAUAUGUUAGCACGUGUUUAUAUAUAAACUUCACAGCAAUGUUUUCCAGCUGUUAGUUAACAAUUACAGCUGUCAGAUUGAGGCUUUCUUAGCAGACAUGCAUUUAAAUGCCACAUUUCACAGCACGUAAAGGGUACAGGCAGGAAGAGUGCAGUUUGAUCUCUUGCAGACUCACAGCCCUAUUUCUCCCCACUCCUCUCUGUGGUUGGAUGUCUGUAGGUGUAACAUCCACACUCGGAUGCUGUCAGAAGUUGCUUCGUGGUGUUCUGAAAUACAACUGAAUAAAGCAGCCUGACCCUCCUGGGGCACAGAGGCAGCCCCCUGGCUGUGGUGGCUUUCCACUCCCAAAGCCGUACUGAGGGUGUAGCUUUGUACCUUGCUUUUUGUGCUGUAAAUACGGAGCACGCUGAGCUUUCUCUGAACAUCCUUACUCACGAGCAACAAGUUAAGGUGGGAACAUUGAUCAAUAUAAUUCUGUAAGGCUUGUGCCAACACAGGUGUUCUUCUGGCAAACCUCAGCAAGAGAUCAGCAGUGUGGGCUGAAGCAGCAGCUGGCUUCUUGCUUGGGGAAGGCUUGGCCAUCAAGUUGCAUGGAGCUCUGCCUUCUGCCUUGCUUCAGCCGAAGGAAAACUAACCUGUAAAUAACUGACUUAUACUGAGGGGAAGGUAGUUCC
rnacentral:lncRNA from 1 species